CCUACGGGUGGCUGCAGCCAAGAACAUUCGACAAUGGACGAAAGUCUGAUCGAGCGACGCCGCGUGAUUGAUGAAGUCCCUCUGGGACGUAAAGAUCUUUUAUGAGGGAAGAAGUUUAUUGACUGUACCUCAUGAAUAAGAGGCUCCUAAUCUCGUGCCAGCAGGAGCGGUAAUACGAGAGCCUCGAGCGUUAUCCGGAAUCAUUGGGCGUAAAGGGUGCGUAGGUGGCAUUGUUAGUCGUGUGUUAAAUCUGGGAGCUUAACUUCCAAACCGCACACGAAACGGCAUUGCUAGAGAUUACAAGAGGUCUGUAGAACUCAUGGUGUAGGGGUGAAAUCCGUUGAUAUCAUGGGGAAUACCAAAAGCGAAGGCAGCAGACUGGUGUAAUUCUGACACUCAAGCACGAAAGCGUGGGUAGCGAAUGGGAUUAGAUACCCUUGUAGUC
rnacentral:rRNA from 1 species